rnacentral:rRNA from 1 species
UACGAGGGGGGCAAGUGUUGUUCGGAAUCACUGGGCGUAAAGGGAGCGUAGGCGGGCUCUUAAGUAAGGUGUUUAAUCCCGGGGCCCAACCCCGGACCGGCACUUUAAACUGGGAAUCUUGAAUAGUGGAGAGGUCAGUGGAAUUGGGGGUGUAGCGGUGGAAUGCGUAGAGAUCCCCAAGAACACCAGUUGCGAAGGCGGCUGACUGGACACAUAUUGACGCUGAGGCUCGAAAGCAUGGGGAGCAAACAGG